GGAGUUAGCCGGUGCUUCUUCUGUGAGUGAUGUCCUUCCUGCCGGUUAUUGACCCGCAGGCCUUCUUCCUCACUGAAAGUGCUUUACAACCCGAAGGCCUUCUUCACACACGCGGCAUGGCUGGAUCAGGGUUGCCCCCAUUGUCCAAUAUUCCCCACUGCUGCCUCCCGUAGGAGUCUGGGCCGUGUCUCAGUCCCAGUGUGGCUGAUCAUCCUCUCAGACCAGCUACGGAUCGUCGCCUUGGUGAGCCGUUACCUCACCAACCAGCUAAUCCGACAUAGGCUCAUCCGAUAGCGCGAGGCCCGAAGGUCCCCCGCUUUCCCCCGUAGGGCGUAUGCGGUAUUAGCCUGGGUUUUCCCCCAGGUUAUCCCCCGACUACCGGGGCAGAUUCCUAUGCAUUACUCACCCGUCCGCCGCUCGCCACCAGGGAGCAAGCUCCCCGUGCUGCCGCUCGACCUUGCAUGUGUUAGGCCUGCCGCCAGCGUUCAAUCUGAGCCAGGAUCAAACUCUGA
rnacentral:rRNA from 1 species